rnacentral:sRNA from 3 species
AUGCAGUACGUCUGCACUCCGGUUUUUGUGCGCCAUCCACGCUCGCCUGGCGGCUGCUCGCGGCUGUCGGUCAAACGCGCUAGCCGCGUUGCCGGCC